rnacentral:rRNA from 1 species
AGAGUUUGAUCCUGGCUCAGGAUGAACGCUGGCGGCGUGCUUAACACAUGCAAGUCGAACGAUCCUUCGGGAUAGUGGCGGACGGGUGAGUAACGCGUGGGAAUCUGCCCUUAGGAGGGGGAUAACGGCUGGAAACGGCCGCUAAUACCCCAUAUGCCGAGAGGUGAAACGAAUUUCGCCUGAGGAUGAGCCCGCGUCUGAUUAGCUAGUUGGUGGGGUAAAGGCCUACCAAGGCGACGAUCAGUAGCUGGUCUGAGAGGAUGAUCAGCCACACUGGGACUGAGACACGGCCCAGACUCCUACGGGAGGCAGCAGUGGGGAAUUUUCCGCAAUGGGCGAAAGCCUGACGGAGCAACGCCGCGUGAGGGAUGAAGGCCUCUGGGCUGUAAACCUCUUUUCUCAAGGAAGAAGAACUGACGGUGCUUGAGGAAUAAGCCACGGCUAAUUCCGUGCCAGCAGCCGCGGUAAUACGGGAGUGGCAAGCGUUAUCCGGAAUUAUUGGGCGUAAAGCGUCCGCAGGCGGCCUUGUAAGUCUGUUGUUAAAGCGUGGAGCUCAACUCCAUUAAAGCAAUGGAAACUACAAGGCUGGAGUGUGGUAGGGGCAGAGGGAAUUCCCGGUGUAGCGGUGAAAUGCGUAGAUAUCGGGAAGAACACCAGUGGCGAAGGCGCUCUGCUGGGCCAUAACUGACGCUCAUGGACGAAAGCCAGGGGAGCGAAAGGGAUUAGAUACCCCUGUAGUCCUGGCCGUAAACGAUGAACACUAGGUGUCGGGGGAAUCGACCCCCUCGGUGUCGUAGCCAACGCGUUAAGUGUUCCGCCUGGGGAGUACGCACGCAAGUGUGAAACUCAAAGGAAUUGACGGGGGCCCGCACAAGCGGUGGAGUAUGUGGUUUAAUUCGAUGCAACGCGAAGAACCUUACCAGGGUUUGACAUCCUGCGAAUCCCUUGGAAACGAGGGAGUGCCUUCGGGAGCGCAGUGACAGGUGGUGCAUGGCUGUCGUCAGCUCGUGUCGUGAGAUGUUGGGUUAAGUCCCGCAACGAGCGCAACCCACGUCUUUAGUUGCCAGCAUUCAGUUGGGCACUCUAGAGAGACCGCCGGUGAUAAACCGGAGGAAGGUGUGGAUGACGUCAAGUCAUCAUGCCCCUUACAUCCUGGGCUACACACGUACUACAAUGCUACGGACAAAGGGCAGCAAGCUCGCGAGAGUUAGCAAAUCCCAUAAACCGUGGCUCAGUUCAGAUCGUAGGCUGCAACUCGCCUACGUGAAGGAGGAAUCGCUAGUAAUCCCU